rnacentral:lncRNA from 1 species
AAAGAGAUGAAGAGGAGUGAGCCAGGUUUCAGGAGGGGGCACGCAGGAGACCAGCCCUGGAUUCAGACUUGAGCCUGGUCCACACCAGAGGCCGAUAGAAGGCUUGGAUUACAGCAGGGGCAGGUUCUUUCACGAAAUCAAAUUUCUCCACUGAUUUCUGAAUUCAUAGCAAGCUAACUAGAAGAGAUUUUUAAUUCAGAAUGCUGCACUCCAAAAAACUGAGAAAGACAUUGAGGGAGGGAAUAUGGAAAUUUGAUGGUAUCUCGGCUAAGUUUGAUAUUGAGAUUUUUGUAAUAAAUGUUGUUGAAUAAAAAAGGCAUCAAGAUGCCUAAAUCAGAGAGAUAAAAUGAAGAAUAAUUACAGUAUACAAUUUUUGAAUUAUUGUCCAAUCAACUAAAAUUAGAAGUUUUUAACAUGCUAAAAUGGAAAGUUAUUCAACAGAAUGGAAUCCUUUAAAAUAUGAUGGAACUGCCACUUAAGCAUCAGAAGUCUGCUCAGGUGUGACCCUGGGAGCCCAAACUUUUCACGGAACAGCAAGGAACAUCCCUGUGCUCCUCCUUCCCAGUCUCUUUUUUUUUCAGAGGGAGUCUCGCUCUGUUGCCCAGGCUGGAGUGCAGUGGCGAGAUCUCAGCUCACUGCAAGCUCCGUCUCCCGGGUUCACGCCAUUCUCCUGCCUCAGCCUGCCGAGUAGCUGGGACAACAGGCGCCAGCCACCAUGCCCAGGUAAUUUUUUGUAUUUUUAAUAGAGAUGGGGUUUCACCAUGUUAGCCAGGAUGAUCUCGAUCUCCUGACCUCGUGAUCUGCCCGUCUCAGCCUCCAAAAGUGCUGGGAUUACAGGCAUGAGCCACUGCACCCAGCCCGCCUUCCCAGUCUUUACAUAGAUGCUUAGGAUUCAAGGGGGUUUUCUUCUCAUUAGCAAGACUUAGGCACAAUCACUAUGCCUAGUACCAAAUCUCUACAUUCAGGAAAGAAGGUGCAACUUAGAAAUAUCAGUUCAUGAACCAUGGGUCAUCUCACUCUUUGGGAAAACACAGAGUCAAGCCAACUCUCUUGAUCUUCCAGGCAUACAAAACCUGCCUUGCCUCUCCCCAGUUUGAACAGUGCUUUUGAACUUUGAUGGAAAAGCCACAUUUGGAAGGUCAUACCACCCUUGACAAACUGCAGUCCCUACUGGCCAUUACACUGCAGAGCCGUGACAAUGAUGGAUCUCCUGUUUGGAAGAGAAUGACCCAGGACAAAAGGGGUGACCAAACCAUGGUCUAAGUGUGAUAUCUGAAGCUGCUUAAUCUGCAAAAGGAAACCCAGUCUGCAGCAUCCUCGGGAGACAGCUGGAUCAGCCAGAGAGCUUCAGAAAGACACACAUCACUCUGCCAGACACACACACUGCUCCAGCUCCAGCAUCCAACAUCUGACCACAUGUCGGCAGCCACUGCUGACCUGGCUCCACCAUUUCUCCCCAGGUCUAAGCUUAAGCCGCACUGCAUUGCUUCCAUUUCUUCAUGCUUGCUCUGUUCCCUUCUACCACAGGGGCUUUGUGCAAGCUCAGCCUCAACAUGGAUCUUCCCCCUUCUUCACCUGGUCAACAGCCACUCAUUCUUCAACCUUAGUUCGAGCAUCAUCAACCUCCCCCGCUAUGUCAGUUCUCCCUGUUAGACACCCUGGCUGUUCCACAUAUCUUUUAUUCAAAGUAGUUACAUAUUAAAGCAUUCCAUUUGUGCAUACAAUUAUUGUAGAAUUACUUCCCAGCAGACAGAUGCUAUAGGAGGGAAGAGACCUUUUCUGCUUAAGUAUCUAGUGCAGUGCCUGGCCCUUAAUAGGUGCUCAACAAAAAUUUUUAAAUGAAUGCUUAAAUACCAUAUCAUGGGUCAUGUCUGGUUGCAAAAAGAUAUUCAUCAUAAUAAAAAUAAUAAACUAUAAUUAAAAUAUACUCAUCAUCAUAAAAAUAAAUGAACUAGGCAGAUACUGGUGUUAAAGGUAUCACUGCCUUUAUUGUGGGCCAUUUUAGGAUGCAAGGCACAGUAGGGGUAAACAAUUAAGAGAGACUUCUGUAGUCUAGGAAUAC